rnacentral:rRNA from 1 species
UACAGAGGUGCAAGCGUUGUUCGGAAUUAUUGGGCGUAAAGCGCGUGUAGGCGGCUUUGCAAGUCGGGUGUGAAAGCCCUCAGCUCAACUGAGGAAGUGCGCCCGAAACUGCAGAGCUUGAGUACCGGAGAGGAUGGCGGAAUUCCCGAAGUAGAGGUGAAAUUCGUAGAUAUGGGGAGACACCGGUGGCGAAGGCGGCCAUCUGGGACGGAUACGUGACGCUGAGACGCGAAAGCGUGGGUACGCAAACGAGGAAUUGAGAA